UGCAAGUCGAACGCNUCUUUUUCCACCGGAGCUUGCUCCACCGGAAAAAGAGGAGUGGCGAACGGGUGAGUAACACGUGGGUAACCUGCCCAUCAGAAGGGGAUAACACUUGGAAACAGGUGCUAAUACCGUAUAACAAUCGAAACCGCAUGGUUUUGAUUUGAAAGGCGCUUUCGGGUGUCGCUGAUGGAUGGACCCGCGGUGCAUUAGCUAGUUGGUGAGGUAACGGCUCACCAAGGCGACGAUGCAUAGCCGACCUGAGAGGGUGAUCGGCCACAUUGGGACUGAGACACGGCCCAAACUCCUACGGGAGGCAGCAGUAGGGAAUCUUCGGCAAUGGACGAAAGUCUGACCGAGCAACGCCGCGUGAGUGAAGAAGGUUUUCGGAUCGUAAAACUCUGUUGUUAGAGAAGAACAAGGAUGAGAGUAACUGUUCAUCCCUUGACGGUAUCUAACCAGAAAGCCACGGCUAACUACGUGC
rnacentral:rRNA from 1 species